rnacentral:tRNA from 1 species
GGUGGCUCAGUGGUAGAGCGCUUGCCUCGCAUGCAUGAGGUCCUGGGUUUGAUUUCUCAGUACCA